rnacentral:rRNA from 1 species
CCUACGGGUGGCAGCAGUGAGGAAUAUUGGUCAAUGGACGAGAGUCUGAACCAGCCAAGUAGCGUGAAGGAUGACUGCCCUAUGGGUUGUAAACUUCUUUUAUAUGGGAAUAAAAUGUGCCACGUGUGGGAUUUUGUAUGUACCAUAUGAAUAAGGAUCGGCUAACUCCGUGCCAGCAGCCGCGGUAAUACGGGGGUUCCGAGCGUGAUCCGGAUUUAUUGGGUUUAACGGGAGCGUAGGGGGGUUGUUAAGUCAGUGGUGAAAGUUUGCGGCUCAACCGUAAAAUUGCCGUUGAAACUGGCAUUCUUGCUUACAGUAGAGGUGGGCGGAAUUCGUGGUGUAGCGGUGAAAUGCUUAGAUAUCACGAAGAACUCCGAUUGCGAAGGCAGUUCACUGGACUGCAACUGACACUGAGGCUC